AGAGUUUGAUCCUGGCUCAGGAUGAACGCUAGCUACAGGCUUAACACAUGCAAGUCGAGGGGAAACGACAUCGAAAGCUUGCUUUUGAUGGGCGUCCGACCGGCGCACGGGUGACGUAACGCGUAUCCAACCUGCCCAUCACUUGGGGAUAACCUUGCGAAAGUAAGACUAAUACCCAAUGAUAUCUCUAGAAGACAUCUGAAAGAGAUUAAAGAUUUAUCGGUGAUGGAUGGGGAUGCGUCUGAUUAGCCUUGUUGGCGGGGUAACGGCCCACCAAGGCCAACGAUCAGUAGGGGUUCUGAGAGGAAGGUCCCCCACAUUGGAACUGAGACACGGUCCAAACUCCUACGGGAGGCAGCA
rnacentral:rRNA from 1 species